rnacentral:lncRNA from 10 species
AUUCUGGAGCCAGUGUCCAGGUAGUCAUUGGGUAAUUGUGAUAAAUAUAUAUUUGUUCUUUGUCCUCAGUUUCCAUCACACAGCUCCUAAAUCCCUUGGAAUUUCCUAGGUGAUAAGACAAUCUUUUGUCCUAAUGAGGUCACUCUUGUUGGGGCCCUAGGCUGUUUCAGGAUGGAGGCUGGUUGCCAUGAUUAGAGUUCUACAGGCAAUGAUCCCAAGCACAUACCCUGGUAAAUGUCCU